CGAGUGAAGCGGCAAAAGCUCAAAUUUGAAAUCUGGCACCUUCGGUGUCCGAGUUGUAAUUUGAAGAAGGUAACUUUGGAGUUGGCUCUUGUCUAUGUUCCUUGGAACAGGACGUCACAGAGGGUGAGAAUCCCGUGCGAUGAGAUGCCCAAUUCUAUGUAAAGUGCUUUCGAAGAGUCGAGUUGUUUGGGAAUGCAGCUCUAAGUGGGUGGUAAAUUCCAUCUAAAGCUAAAUAUUGGCGAGAGACCGAUAGCGAACAAGUACAGUGAUGGAAAGAUGAAAAGAACUUUGAAAAGAGAGUGAAAAAGUACGUGAAAUUGUUGAAAGGGAAGGGCUUGAGAUCAGACUUGGUAUUUUGCGAUCCUUUCCUUCUUGGUUGGGUUCCUCGCAGCUUACUGGGCCAGCAUCGGUUUGGACGGUAGGAUAAUGACUAAGGAAUGUGGCUCUACUUCGGUGGAGUGUUAUAGCCUUGGUUGAUACUGCCUGUCUAGACCGAGGACUGCGUCUUUGACUAGG
rnacentral:rRNA from 1 species